UACGAGGGGGGCAAGCGUUGCUCGGAAUUAUUGGGCGUAAAGGGUAGGUAGGUGGUCUUAUUUGUCUGGGGUGAAAGCCUUGGGCUUAACUCAAGAAGUGCCCCAGAAACGGUAAGACUAGAGUCCUGGAGAGGGUCGUGGAAUUCCCGGUGUAGCGGUGAAAUGCGUAGAGAUCGGGAGGAACACCAGAGGCGAAGGCGGCGACCUGGACAGGCACUGACACUCAAAUACGAAAGCGUGGGGAGCAAACAGG
rnacentral:rRNA from 1 species